rnacentral:misc_RNA from 1 species
GAUGAAGAACGCAGCGAAAUGCGAUACGUAAUGUGAAUUGCAAAUUCAGUGAAUCAUCGAGUCUUUGAACGCACAUUGCGCCCCCUGGUAUUCCGGGGGGCAUGCCUGUCCGAGCGUCAUUACAACCCUCAAGCUCAGCUUGGUAUUGGGCCCCGCCGACCCGGCGGGCCCUAAAGUCAGUGGCGGUGCCGUCCGGCUCCGAGCGUAGUAAUUCUUCUCGCUCUGGAGGUCCGGUCGUGUGCUCGCCAGCAACCCCCAAUUUUUUUCAGGUUGACCUCGGAUCAGGUAGGGAUACCCGCUGAACUUAAGCAUAUCAAUAAGCGGAGGA